rnacentral:rRNA from 1 species
GAGUUUGAUCUUGGCUCAGGACGAACGCUGGCGGCGUGCCUAAUACAUGCAAGUCGAGCGAAUCACUGGGAGCUUGCUCCCGGUGGUUAGCGGCGGACGGGUGAGUAACACGUGGGCAACCUGCCUGUAAGACUGGGAUAACACCGGGAAACCGGUGCUAAUACCGGAUAAUCCUUUUCCUCUCAUGAGGAAAAGCUGAAAGUCGGUUUCGGCUGACACUUACAGAUGGGCCCGCGGCGCAUUAGCUAGUUGGUGAGGUAACGGCUCACCAAGGCGACGAUGCGUAGCCGACCUGAGAGGGUGAUCGGCCACACUGGGACUGAGACACGGCCCAGACUCCUACGGGAGGCAGCAGUAGGGAAUCUUCCACAAUGGACGAAAGUCUGAUGGAGCAACGCCGCGUGAGCGAUGAAGGCCUUCGGUCGUAA